UUUUGAUUGGUUGGCUUUCAUGACAUGGCGGAUGAAGGGUGGAUACUCACUUGCUCCAUUAUAGUUGUAGAUCGCGGAUAGUGUUUGGAUAACACAAUGAUGAUUGCUGUCCAUACACAAACUAUUUCUCAUAUUUCUUUUCCUCCUAUUUCUCUACCUAGCUAAUAAUAGGGGUGUUCAGCGGAUGAACCGAACCGCCCAAACCGCCUAAACCGUCCGAACCAAUCCGCUUGCAAACAAAGCUGAAGCAUUCUACGGAUGGAUGCGGAUCUAAUAAUAGUUAAUCUGGCAGAUCCGGUUCGGAUCCGGUUAAAACCGAACCGACCACCUGUUAAAAAAAAAGGCUGAAUUGCACCGUUCGCACUUCGCAUGCAGCCCCGCACGCAGUCAGAUAUUCUAACCCUAAUAGUAAACCUCCACUAACUUCUCUGCUCUGCCUUCUCUCCUCACAAUGCUCUCACAACCUUCUCUCAAGUCUCCCUCUAUGCCUCCCUCUGACCAUCUCCUCCUUCUCCGGUGAUGACCCACACACCUCCACCUCUCUCUCUCUCCAUCUCGAAGACUCGACUAUAAACUGACUAAGGAAAGCAAUGAAGGAUCGUAGAAUUUGCUUAACCCCCGAUACAUGGACUUUGAUUUAGAAUUGUGUUAUAUGUGUCUUACUGCUCACUUUGUUGAUGAUGAUUGGAAGCUACAAAAGAGGAUCAUAAAUUUUUGCUUAGUUGAGGAUCACAAAGGGGAAACUGUAGGAAGAAAACUUGAAACGUGUUUGCUUGAAUGGAAGAUUGAUAGCAUUUUUACCCUCACGGUUGAUAAUGCUAGUUCGAAUGGUCUUACCAUUAAGUUCUUGAAGGAAGCAACAAAAGAUUGGAAGGGGACAAUUUUGGAGCACGAUUAUUUGCAUGUUCAUUGUUGUGCACAUAUUCUUAAUAUAAUUGUUGGGAUGGUUUGAAGGUAAUGGAUUCAUCCAUUGCCAAUAUUCGCCAUGCUGUGAGGUAUGUGAGGUCUAGUCCAAAUAGACAUGAAACAUUUUAAAAUUUUGUGGAGAAAUGCAAGAUUGAGUCCAAGCGUGACUUGUGCCUAGAUGUGGCAACAAGGUGGAACUCCACAUAUAAGAUGUUGGACCAUGCUGAGAAGUUUGAGAAGGUAUUUGACCGAAUGGGGAAAGAAGAUGAGCAAUUUAAAGCUUACUUCGCAGAUUGUAAAGUUGGUGGAGGGAGGAACAUUCCGACAAAGGAUGAUUGGGAUAAAUGUAUAGUGUUCUUGCAAUUUUUUGAGUUUAUUUUACAAGGCAACUUUGAAGUUUUCAGGGCCCCUCUAUGUUACCUCAAUACUUUCUAUCGUGAGAUGCUUGUGAUUCAAACAAAAAUUAAGGAACACAUGGCGAUAACACUCCACUUUUGGCUUCCAUGGCAACAGAUAUGAAGGUGAAGUUUGACAAGUAUUGAGGUAUUGGGGAUAAAUUCAAUCUUCUUUUAUAUGUUGUCGUUGUGCUUGAUCCUCGGAAUAAGAAAAGGUUCUUGAAGUUUAGUUCUAUGUCCAUAUAUGGCAACGAUGUGGUGGACAUAAUGAUUGUGAAAGUGGAGGAUGCAUUAACUAAAUUGUUCAACUAUUAUAAAACCGUGUAUGAUUCGUUGAAUGUUGAAGUUCGGAUUGAAGAUGAAGAAAUGCCUAUGGUAGUUGAUGAUGAUGAUGAUCCUUAUGCUAUCAUUGCCUCCCAAUUUAACACUUGGAGGGUGACUUUUUUAAUAGUUCUAUGACGGAGUUGGAUAAGUACUUGACUGAUGUCGUUGAGAAGGUUCCAAAAGAUGAGGAAGGGAAAUUUGAUUUAUUGAAUUGGUGGAAGGUGAACUCUUAGAAGUAUAAAGUGUUGUCGCUAUUGGCUCCGGAUGUCUUGGCGAUGCCCGUUUCCACUGUUGCUUCUGAAUCGGCUUUUAGUAUAGGAGGUUGUAUACUUGAUCCAUUUUGAAGUUCAUUCAACCCCGAGACCAUAGAGAUGCUUGUGUGUACUCAAAAUUGGCUUCAAAGCAAUGUUCCUAUUUCUCUUCGGAAGGUUAUGGAUGAUGUUGAGCAAAUUGGACAAUCUUUCAUAGAAUCUAAAUCAAGUUCAACUUCGUGUCCUAGUCCAGCUCGAAGUUCGGGUAUAAUUGACGUGUAAUCGAAUGGUAAAUCACUUUUUA